UCUAAGAACUCUUACGUAGUACUUGAUCCGAUAGUUGUUAGUACUAAAGGCCGAACGAGUAAAAGAUUUAAAUCUGGCAGGGAGGAGAAUAGUAAGUUAUGCCGUGGGUGUAACAAGUGGGUUAUUGGGCAUGAUAAACGAAAUUGUCCUAUAUAUAACCAACUUGAUAAUGCAUCUGAAGAAGCCAGGUAUAUAUUUUUUCCCUGUUUUUUUAUUUGAUUUCUUACAUACAUUGCAUUAUUUUAAACAAAAUUCAUUAUCUCCACAGUUAUGGCACUAACAUUGAAAGAGGAAAGGGAAAAGCAGUUGGUAGGCCAAGAGGAAAAAAUAUAGUACAGGGUCGUGGUAGGAUGUUAAAUCAAGAUUGAUCGGUACCAAAGGCAUGAUGUCUUAAAUGUCUACAAGCUUGCGCCAUCAGCUACAUGAAUAACUUGAAAUUGUUUACUAAGAAGAUACCUAUUAUAGAUCACAGA